rnacentral:rRNA from 1 species
AUUGAACGCUUGCGGCAGGCCUAACACAUGCAAGUCGAACGAGUGGCGGACGGGUGAGUAAUGUCUGGGAAACUGCCCGAUGGAGGGGGAUAACUACUGGAAACGGUAGCUAAUACCGCAUCCCAUCGGAUGUGCCCAGAUGGGAUUAGCUGGUAGGUGGGGUAACGGCUCACCUAGGCGACGAUCCCUAGCUGGUCUGAGAGGAUGACCAUCCACACUGGAACUGAGACCCGGUCCAGACGCCUACGGGAGGCAGCAGGGGGGAAUAUUGCACAAUGGGCGCAAGCCUGAUGCAGACAUGCCGAGUGUAUGAAGGAGGCCUUCGGGGUGGAAAGUACUUUCAGCGAGGAGGCGUUACUCGCAGAAGAAGCACCGGCUAACUCCGUGCCAGCAGCCGCGGUAAUAC